rnacentral:rRNA from 1 species
UAUACAGGUGUUGCAUGGCUGUCGUCAGCUCGUGUCGUGAGAUGUUCGGUUAAGUCCGCUAACGAGCGCAACCCUCGUCGUAUGUUAUAUGUGUCAUACGAGACUGCCGGUAAAAGCCGGAGGAAGGUGAGGAUGAUGUCAAGUCAGCAUGACCUUUAUAUCCAGGGCUACACACACGCUACAAUGGUCUGUACAAUGGGUAGCCAAGCCGCGAGGCGGAGCCAAUCCUGAAAGCAGGCCUCAGUUCAGAUUGCAGUCUGCAACUCGACUGCAUGAAGCCGGAGUUGCUAGUAACCGCAGGUCAGCAAUACUGCGGUGAAUACGUUCCCGGGUCUU